CGUGUAGGUGGUUUGUUAAGUCCGUUGUUAAAGACUGGGGCUCAACCCCGGCAUGGCAGUGGGUACUGGCAGGCUUGACGGCUGGAGAGGCGAGUGGAAUUACCAGUGUAGCGGUGGAAUGCGUAGAUACUGGUAGGAACACCUAUGGCGAAGGCAGCUCGCUGGACAGCUCGUGACGCUGAGGCGCGAAAGUGUGGGGAGCGAACC
rnacentral:rRNA from 1 species